rnacentral:tRNA from 1 species
GCGGAGGUAGCGAAGUGGUCAAACGCGGCAGGUUCAGGGCCUGUUCCCGAAGGGGUUCGCCGGUUCGAUCCCGGUCCUCCGCA